AUGGCCCCCCAAGUAGAGCCACCGGCGCCGGCGCCGUCGCCUGCAUCGGCGAAGUAUGAUCCAGCGGCCACCGCCACCACCAUCACUUCCAUCACCGACGACCUCCUCCGCGAGAUCCUCGUACGCCUCCCCUCCCUCCCGAGCCUCGUCCGCGCCGCCCUCGCCUGCCGCACCUUCCUCCGCGCCGUCCGCUCCUCCCCCGCCUUCCGCCGCCGCUUCCGGGCGCUCCACCCGCCACAGCUCCUUGGCUACUUCACUGACCCCUGCCGCACCGCCUUCCCUGCCUUCAUCCCCUUCUGA
rnacentral:rRNA from 1 species